UGGAGGAUUGAGAAGGUUUGGCAGUCGAACUUGUGCUGCAUGAACUGGUUAUAACCUCCUAAAAGAGACUCCCACAGUUC